rnacentral:lncRNA from 1 species
UUGUUUUUUUUUUUUGGUAUUGCAUCACCUAAACAUAACUAUAAAUAUCUCCUAAUUAGGUAAGGCUUAAAGAAAUGAUUACUAUUUCUGGGUUGCAUCUGAAUUCAAUUUGUUGGCCAAGGGACCAAAGAUGAGGUAUAAUUUGUUUUCACCACGGAGCCUGGACUGAUCUAAAGACCAAUUUAUAUGAGUUUGAUAGUCCAAAAUUGGUUUUAAGAGAAGAAAUUCGUAGGUGAAAAGAAGCAAUACUAUUAAUUUUCGUUUAAUCGUUGCACAUAUUUUAAAAGAAAAGAUGGUUUAAGCCACUAACAUAUUCCAUAUUAAUUAAAACCCAAAACUAAUUCCUCAACAAUAGAUAACUAUUAACAUAAAACUAAUGCACAUAUCCAAACAUUAAGUACCUGGAGAUUGGUAUCAAUCAGAACAACGAUUAUACAACUCCAUUUCCAAAACAAGCAGUUACCCCUUUUAAUUAAUACAAUUUGAUUCCUAGAAGCUCAAAUGAUGAGCUAAAGAUCAGAAACAAAUCUUCAUCACAUGCUGGAGCAUAUGCAUAUAAACAUGAGAAUAGCUUAAACAACAGUCCAUGCAUACAGAAUUCUCAAAUGUCCUACUCCUUCAACUGUCAGACCUCAUGUUUUUCAUCUAAACAAAAUGCAACAUGAAUUUCCUAGAAAGCUUUUACACUACUACAUCAAAACGAACAAGCAGGACUGAGUAGUAUUGCACUUCAAAAUUCUAAGUGAAUAAUCAACAUUCAUGAUUAAAAAAACAGUAUUCAUUUAUAAAAUUUUCACGCCAUUACAGCUUCCACACUUGCGCUUCACAUAUAAUAGAUCCAAGGCAUACAUGGAUUCAAUCUGAUUCUAAUUUGUAGUGCAUCACUUCCUAACAGUGCUUUGAAGGAAAAUACUUGGGAAUGGAAAGGCAAAGGGACAGGGUCAGAAUCAGCAAUAUCAAAGGCAGAAAUCAGCACCAGCAACCAGAACAACCCAGAUUCAACCAAAAUCAGUAAUGAAUUCAAUCAACUAACUAAACUCAGAGCAAUAGCCAAGAGGACUGUUGUUAAGAAAAAAAACAUCAAUGUUUUUGGCCAAACUUUCAAUGGAACAGUAAUUUCUCCUCAAUUUUCGGCUAUUUUUGAAUUUUCAGAUUUUUUCUGUCACUUAGCUCUUGUAUUUUUGUCCCCCUUCAGAACCCCCUUUAUCUUUUUCUUUCAUUUACUUUUAUAGACUGAAUAUUAGGGCAAUCUUCAGAAUUUGUUUUUUCCCCAUAGCACCUCAUUUUAUGACUUGGUGACCAAGUUUAUUACCAAAAACCUUGAAUUCCAAUUUGAACAUCUACACUAGAAGCUUCCUAGGUAGUUAUCACAAUAUUCUCUGCCCUAAACUUCCAAAACUGCCCUUAAUUCAACUUCUAAAUUACUAACCUAGUUAAACCUAACUACAUCCCCUUUUUACUCUAGUCAAAUAAACCUAGUUACUUUUCCAAGGCUAGAAUCAUUCAAUUAUAACCAAACAACUAUUCAAACUGAACCAGAUUAAACUAAAACCACUUUUAAUCCUAAGUUAAUCCCUGAGAGUUCAAGUUAAUCUAUUGUUGAAAAUUAUUAAUUAAGUAGGGCUCUAAGAGAACUAGUUCAGUUAAACAAUAACACUGAAUCAUGAAUUCAUGAGAGAAACAAUCAUUUAUUCAUGCACUGAAAUUAAACUCAAAAAUAAUUAUGAACUAAAACUUAAUCAAACAAAAAUCUAAGGAAAUGAAAAGCAAACAUCGAGCAGAGGAAGAAAUAAAAGAAAAACGAAAGAGAAAAAAAGAUUUACUAUAACUGAAUCAAGACCUGGGCAAAUCAUGUUGAAAUUGCUUGACAAAACUAGUGCUUAAUCGUGUGUUCUCAUGAGAAAACACGUGACUAAACCCUACAAUGAUCAAACCUCCAGGCAUGAGAAAAUUAGGGUUCCAAACUGAUCUUCGAUCUAAACCCUACAAUGAGCCACGCAGGGAUGAUUCGAAUGCUAUGAUUGUGGAUUUUGAAAGAUGGGGGUAAGGACGCCAUAGGGUGUUAAUUUGGCGAGGUUUGGGGGUGGCGCCGCCGUGGGUGUCAGAGCAGUCGCCACUUUCAUUGAAUAUUCGACAAACUUGGGUGAUAUUUGAGGGCUACAGAUAGCAUGGAUGGAAAGAGAAGGUCAAGGAGGUUGGGUGGUGUAAUCUUGGGAGCCAUCGGAGCAUCGCCGUCGCAGCCGGCGGACGGCAGAGGGUGGUGGUGUUACGUCGGCGUAUAUUAGGGUUCGGGAGGGAUAGGGUACGAGGUCUCGUUUGUGGUAGUGGGGUUUGAGACAAUUAUAUAUCUAUCCUAACCUAGCUUCACUACGGUUGGAUCAAAGAGAUGGAUGGCUGUGAUUUAUUAAUAGCAAACGACGUCGUUUUGAUCAGGAGGGGGCUGGACCGGGUGGCUUUUUGGUUGGACCAUGGUUAGACUGCGUUUUUAGACUGGCAUGUAUAAUUAAACUGGCCCAAAUUUGGGUCUUUUAAUUAAGAUAUUUUUCAAUUUCUUUGUUUUACUUUAUUUAUUUUAAUUACUAAUUUUGAUUUUAUUAAAUACCAAAGUAACAUCAAAAUAUUGCAAAGACCUGAUUUAAAUCUAAAAUUAAGCUAAUUAAACUCAAAAUUUUAAUUCAACCCUAAGUUAAAAAAAAUCUAAGGUAAACUCAAAUAUUAAAAGGUAAAAAAUGCGAAGUGGACUAUUUUUUGUUAUUUUCUUUCGUUUUUUUGUAAUGUUAACUAAUUAAUGAACCUAAAAUAUUAAAAUGGUAUCCUAAAAGCAAAUGUGCUGUUUUUGUAUUUUGUUCAUGAAUUAUAUCAAUUAAAAUGCACAAAAAAUACAAAUAAAUACACGAUUAUGCAAUUAAAUUCUAAAACUUGCGCAGAUAAAGAAAAAUCCUAAUUUUACAAAUUUAUAGGAGUAAUUUAAGCUGGGCGAAAAUCACAUGCUCACACAAACUUGUCACGACCCCAACCCCGAUCGUGAUGGCGCCCAACACAUUGCUAGGCAAGCCCGACCAAUUGUCAAUCACAACCUUUCUCCUAUAGAGUUCAUUACCAAUUAACAGAGUUUAAAUACCAAUUUAACAUAAAUAGAAGUCUGGAACAAUAUAUAAAAUGUGUUGAAAUCAUAAUAACGUCACUACAUAGCCCAACUAUUCGGUGUCACACGUCAAGAGCCUCUAAUACAUAGAUAGUAUAGGAAUGCAGAAAAAUAAUAAGAUAGAAAGAGAAAUCGUAUCUGCGGACGCCAUGUAGUUGUCUCGACAACUCUGUUAAACGCUGAUCAACGAGAAAAUACUCUCAUUCUGCCUCUGGAACACCUGAAUCUGCAUGAAGGUGCAGGGAGUAUUAUGAGUACUCCGACCCAGUAGGUAAUAAGCAUAAAUAAUGAUUCAAAAAAAGAAAUCAAGGAAAAACACAGAGUAAGCUAUGAUGUGGCAGAUAAAAACAAGUAACGCGAAAGCAAUAAACCAAUGAAAGGCAAAAUAGGAUAAUUCUACAGUAAGUAAGCAGUUAAGUGACAGGCAGUUAAAGAAAGUCAACACAUAUAACAAAACCACAUAGUUCCGCUGCGGCAUGCAACACGAUCCAUAUAUCAUUGCGGCAUGCAGCCCGAUCCAUAUAUCAUCAACGUCGCUCAAUGGGGGUGCGCAGACUCCCGGAGAGGCCUGCUACGGCCCAAGCGCAAUAUAAAGCCAUCUCGUGGCAUCAAAUCUAGGCCUUCAACCUCAUAUCACUAUCAAUAUAAUAUUGUUGUGGCGUGCAUCCCGAUCCCAUACAAACCUCACAUCUGGCCCUCAGCCAUACUCAGCCUAGAAAUCAUAUAAGCCCCCCGGGCAUUAGUAAAACAAUAAUUCUCAGCCAAAACAUCAUUUAAUAUAUCUUUUUAGUUUGAAAUCGAGUAAAAAUGGCAGAUUUGUAAAGCAGUGGAAAAACGGUACGACUAUGUUCAAGUAGUAAAUCAAAAAUGUUAGAAAGUAGUGAUAAAAAUCCCCGAAGGAUUUAACUAGUUGGCUCGAAGCCCAAAUAUGACAAUCAAUCCAAGUCAUGUGGGUAACAAUUAAGUGAUAGUCAAAUAUGCCGUAAAAUCAUCGAUCGGGAUGGACCAAGUCGCACUCCCCAAUAGUAAACGGCCCCAUGCUCAUCCUCAAGCGCGUCUCUAACCUUAAUAUAGCACUACGAUGUGCAAAUCCAGGAUUUCAAACCCACAAGACAUCAUUUACAAUCAUUACUCACCUCGAACCGGUGAAAGCUCUAGCUCGCUACACAUUUACCUCUCAAAUCGGCCUCCUCACGUGUCCAAUCUCCAAUCAAUCCUCCUUGAAUCCCUGUUCCAUUUCUCCCAAAGAGCUCUCAAAAUACCCAACAAUGGUGGAACAAUGGCUAAGACUCGUGGAUGAAAUGUUUAUAACCUUCUUCCUACUUUCUAAAUUCUCUUCAAUGUGAUCGCGGCCAAAGGCUCGCGAUCGCGAAGGGCAAAUUUUCCAAGACCUCAAAAUACUCUAUGAGAACACGACAUAAGUCCUACGAAUGCGAUGCUGCCUUUCACUAAACUACGCGAACGCGUACCUCCAGGUGUGAACGCGAAGGGCAAUGGCCCAUGACCUUCAAAUCCUUCUAUGUGAACGCAGAAGGUCUUAUGCAAACGCGAAGCAUCACCAUAUAAUCUUAUGUGAUCGCGAACACUCACAAGCGAACAUGAUGAACAAAUUUCCUCUGGACUCUCUAAUCGGCCUCCUCACGUGUCCAAUCUCCAAUCAAUCCUCCUUGAAUCCCUGUUCCAUUUCUCCCAAAGAGCUCUCAAAAUACCCAACAAUGGUGGAACAAUGGCUAAGACUCGUGGAUGAAAUGUUUAUAACCUUCUUCCUACUUUCUAAAUUCUCUUCAAUGUGAUCGCGGCCAAAGGCUCGCGAUCGCGAAGGGCAAAUUUUCCAAGACCUCAAAAUACUCUAUGAGAACACGACAUAAGUCCUACGAAUGCGAUGCUGCCUUUCACUAAACUACGCGAACGCGUACCUCCAGGUGUGAACGCGAAGGGCAAUGGCCCAUGACCUUCAAAUCCUUCUAUGUGAACGCAGAAGGUCUUAUGCAAACGCGAAGCAUCACCAUAUAAUCUUAUGUGAUCGCGAACACUCACAAGCGAACAUGAUGAACAAAUUUCCUGCCUAACAAAUUGCUUCUACACGAUCGCGACACCACCCCUGUGAUCACGAAGGCCAAACACCCUGCAACAUCAGAACAACAGACCCUACAAAUCCCAAGUGCCAAAAUUGGUCCAAUUGACCCCCCAAAACUCACCCAAGGCCUCCGAGACAACCAAAAUACACACACAUCCUAAACACCUCAAAUAAAACCAAAUCCAUCAAUUCACAUCGAAUUCAAGCCUCAGUUUUCCAAAAACUUCCGAGACACAUUUUUUAUCAAAAACCCAACCAAACCACGUCCAUAUGACUUGAAAUUUUGCACACACAUCCUAAAUCAUAUAACAAAGCUAUAAAAACUAUCGGAGUUUCAAUCCGAUCCUUGGAUAAAAAUCUCACUUAUCAACCGGAAAUUGUCGAAAUGCUAACUUUGUCAAUUCAAGUCCAAUGCUACACCGGACCUCCAAAACCACUUCCAAUCAUACUCCUAACCAUCGAAACUCAGAUCCGAGACCUCUAACUCAUAAGUCAACAUCUGGUUGACUUUUCAAACUCAUGUCCUCUUAAAAGAGACUAAGUGUCUCAUUUCUUACCAAAUUCACUCUGAACUCAAACCAAUCAACUCGACCACAUAAAAAUACGGAUAAUUGCAUAAAGAAGUAGAAAUUGGAUAAAAGGAACAGUAACUCAUGAGACGACUGGUUGGUUCAUCACAAGUACAAUAUUUACCUAAGACAUAUUCUGAUCGAUGCCCACUACUUCUAACUUUAGAGGCCAUAAUUCAUAGGGCCAUAAAAAUUUUUAGGUUUGAACCUAUGUGGUUAUCUCAUCCAAUGUUUUCCAUUUAGUAAACUAAACGUGGCAGAGAACCACCCACUACUGGAAAUUACAAAGAAUUUCUAGGAAAUAAUGACAAAUUGGAAUAAAUGGUCUUUGGUAACAUUUUUGCACGCAAAGGGAAAUUACUAGCACGGCUAGCUGGAAUUCAAUCCUCCAUCCACUAUCCCACUAGUAUACAAUAUUUAGAAAUACAAUUGACAAAUGAGUUUAGAAAUAUACUUUUGAUAGAAGAUGAUUUUUGGAAGAAAAAGUCUAAGCUAAUGUGGCUAAAUGAUGGUGAUGCUAACACAAAUUUUUUUCAUAUUUCUACCUUGCAUAGACAUAGGAGAAAUAGGAUAACAUCCUUGAAGGAUUUAGUGGGCAAUUGGUGUGAUUACCAAAAUACUAUUAAAAACAUAAUUCAAAUAUAUUAAUAAAUCUUUUCACUAUUGAACAAAUUCAUUCCACUUACUUGACUGAGGAAAGACAUAACUGUUCUAUUAAUAGGCACGACUUAACUGUUUUAGACGAGCCUCAUAGAGACACUAAAAUUACCUAAGCUUUACAUAUCUUUCAACCUUAUAAGGCAUUUGGGCUAGAUGGGUUACAUCUAUUCUUUUAUAAAAAAAUAUUGAUUAUGCUAGGUAAUAAAGUCAAGGAAUUUUGUCAUGUAAUUUUCAAUUCUAAGACAAUUCCACCAUCUCUAAAUCAAACUUAUAUUUGCCUAAUUCCUAUAGUCAAAUACGCUCAUAAAGACUAAUAAGCCUAUGUAACACUAUAUAGAAACUUAUAACAAAAAUCGUUGUGAAUAGGCUGAAGCCUCUACUUAUCUCAAUAAUUGGACAAACACAAACUAGCUUUCAAUAUGGUAAACAUGUCUCUGAUAAUGACAUAAAGUACAGAGGUCAUAAAUUGCUUUACCAAAAUGAAAGAAAAGGCUGGUUGCAUGCUCUUAAAACUAGUGUUGGAAAAGGCUUUUGAAAGAUUAGAAUAUUCAUUUAUUAGAAAUACACUCAUUUACUUUGGAAUUCCUAAGGCUAUGAUUAAAUUAAUAAUGUCUUGUGUUACCACUACUUCUAUCUCUAUUCUCCUCAAUGCUUCCCUUACACCCUACUUUACACCUACAAGAGGUAUUAGAUAAGGUGACCAUUUGUCACCGUACUUAUUUAUUAUGUGCAUGGAAAUAUUCUCAAGAUGCAUUAACAUAUCAGUAGAAUACUUAAAAUGGCAACCUAUUAAUAUUACAUAAAGGGGAUCAAACCUAUCCCAUCUCUUUUUUGCAUAUGAUAUCCUUCUAUUCUCCAAAACAGCUCCUAAAAGUUAUUACUCUCACGACCCGGAAUUCCAACCCUCGGGAGCCAUAAUGGCGCCUACUAAUGAGAGCUAGGAAGGCCGGAAUAACAGUACACAGUUUCUUAAUAUAAGGAAAAUGAAACCGGAAAUCAAGAUAGAGGGAGACGUUAGGGACUGCGGAUGCCUGCAGGUCUACCUUGGGUCUUCGAAAUGGACUUAAGGAAGCCUUCAACUACUGUCCAAACCUGCUCUGGAAUUUGCACAUAGUGCAUAGUGUAGUAUCAGCAUAAGCCACCCUCUGCACUAGUAAGAGCCUAGUCUAACCUCAGCGAAGUAGUGACGAGGCUAGAACCAUACUACCAAAUAAACUUGUGCAGUUCUAAUAUAUAUAUACAACAUAAAAGAAAUACAGGGAUAGCCAAUCAAUAUGGGAGGGGGAGCAUGCUUUCGGGUAAAAUCGAAUAGUAACAGAAGAGCAAGAAAUAAGUUCACCAUAGUUCAAUUGAAAACAGGAAGGGGAAAUCAUACUGCAAGGUACAACAAGUAUCAACAGUAAACCAGAAAUUUAGUAUAGAUAAACCAUAACAAAAUCAUCAAUAAAAAUCAGAAAAAUCAAAGACAAGUGCACGACAUCACCUUUUGUGCUUUUACUCUCUCUCACUAAAACAAUUCACGACAUCACCCUUCAUGCUUUAACACUCUUUCAACAAAAUAAUACACGGCAUCACCCUUCGUGUUUUACGCUCUUCCUCACCCAAACAACAAUCAUACGGCAAAUAGGGUAAAGGAAUCUAUAACCUUGAAAUAAAAUCAAGUAACAAUAUAAAUCAGUAAAUAAACAUAAAGGAAAACAUAGCUCAAUUACCAGAAAGAACCACGAAAAAUCAAGGACAAGUGCACGACAUCACCCUUCAUGCUUUUACUCUCGUCUUCACCAUAAGAAUUGAUGCAAUAGGCACGGAAUCUGACAUCAUGCGGCACACCAACAACCUUCGUGCUUUACACUCUUUCCCACCAUGAAUUCAAUAUAAUAGGCAUGGAACGGUACAUCGUGCGACACUGCAUCACCUUCGUGCUUUACACUAUUUCCUCACAAAACAAACAAUGGAUGGCAUCACCCUUCGUGCUUUAACUCUCUUCCUUACCCAAGCAACAAUCACAAACAAUAGGGCAAGGGAAUAAAUGAAAUUGCAAUAAAUAUCUCAGCAAGGGAACAACAUCAAUAACCUCAACACCCCUGAAAGGGAGAUAACGAAUAAAUCACCAAUAUCCCCGCAAGGGAGACAACAUAAUGAGCUCCUCUCUUUCUCACUUUUACUUCACAAUUUACUUCACAUUUCGAGCCAAUACUCUAGAGGUUCAAUUUUCACUUACAAUUUCACAAAUUUUUUACACAUCUUGAGCCAAUGCUCCUCAAUGUUAAUAGGUUACAAUUCCUUCCACAAACUUUAAAAAACAAAUAGAAACCACCACAAAGGCACGAAAGAUACAAUGAAGUCAUGAUGAUCACAAUAUAAAUACUUACGGGCAUGCUAGACACCGUAUAGAUACUCGUCACAAUGUCUAUAAGAUGUACUCAACAAUUAACACAUAGAAAAUAGGACUCAACUCCUAAUCCCUCAAGCUAAGGUUAGACCAAACACUUAUCUCGAUGCCACAAACACAAUUCACAAUUCAACUAUUGCUUUACCCCUUCAUUCCACCACCAAUUCGCGCGUAUCUAGUCACAAGUUACUUAAUUACAUCAAUAACGCUAAAAGAAUUAAUGUGAAUCCAUGAAAAUAAAUUUUCCAAAGUUUUACCCAAAAAUUCAAAAUCGCCCCCAAGCCUACAUGGUCAAAGCCCGAGGUUCAAACCAAAACCCGAUUACCCAUUCCCCCACGAACUCAAAUAUAUAAUUUGUUUUGAAAUCAGACCUCAAAUAGGUGUCCAAAUUCCCAAUUUUCAAAAAACCUAAGUUCUACCCAAGACACCCAAUUUCCCAUGAAGUGAAUUGAUUUUUAGUUGAAAUCAUGUUAAAAGAUAUUAUGGAGUGAAGAAAAAGAGUAGAAGUCACUUACCAACAUUUUGGAGAAGAAAGGUUGUUUCAAAAAUCACCUCUUUUAUUUUGGGGGUCUUACAAAAUAAAAAAUAACUAGAAAUCCCGUGUAAAUAAACAAAUCUAAGAUGCCCUAUGCGGACCAUACAAAAUCAACUGUGGCCGCACAGCUCUUCUUGUGUACUGCAUCGACAUGUUUUAGUAUUUUGGCCAUACCAUUCUCAAUAAAUGUCGAAAUUGUGAUUUUUUUACCUUUCUAGAAGCUAGACACAAAGGGCUACAAUUUUAUUUUUGAAUUAUCUCAAAAUUCCUUGUAUAUCAAAAGAUAUAGGCUUCCGAAAUCGGACCAGUGAAAUGUUCUUCACUGCAAACCGCACAAAAACUAGUACGGCCACACAGGCCCCUCCGCAGUAGCAAUCCAAUUCGCGCGGACAACACUGGUCUGUUCAGAGACCUUUCACUUCUUUAAGCGUGCAAUAGCUCUGGUUUUUAAGCCUAAGACAUCCUAGAACCUAUCCAAAACUCACCCGAGCCCUUGGAAAUCCUAACCAAGUGCAUAAAAAACCUCAAAAAUAUCCUACAGACUUAUUCGUGUAAUCUAAUCACCAAAAUAACAUCAUGAACAUCAAAUUAAACCUCAAGAUCAAUGGAAUUUCUCAAAACUCCAUUAAACAUCAAAUUUUCUAAUUAAGGUCCGAAUUACGACAAACAGACUCCGUUUGUACCAAACUUCACGGAGUUAUCUUAAAUCAUACAAGACAUGUACUGCGCGCCGGAACUAAAAUACGGGCCUAAUACUAACAUAUUCUAGUCAAAAUUCAUUGCCAUAUCCUUUAAACAAUUUCAGAAAAUAAAUUUUCUUUAAAAAUUUAUUUCUCGGGCUUAGGACCCAAGAAUUUAAUAUUGGGCAUAGCCCCAAGUCCCAUAUAUUUCUAUGAACUCUCCAGACAGUCAAAUCACGGGUCCGGAUCCGUUUACCCAAAACGUUGACCGAAGUCAAAUUACUUUAUUUUAUAAUAAAAAUUUAUCAUUUUUUCCAUAGAUUUUCACAUUUAAGCUUUUAGGCUACGUGCUCGGACUGUGUACUCAAAUAGAGGUGGUUCUAAGAGAGGUUUUAUGGCCUCAGAAUGUAGAAUUUCAUUGCAACGCAAGUGAUGACUGUUUGGGUCAUCACAUUCUCAGCUCUAAAACAAUCGUUCGUCCUCGAACAGACAGAAUAAGAAAGUACUUGAGUUGGGGAAAAGAUGGGGUUAACGGCUCUAUGUAUCAGACUCGGACUCCCAGGUCGAUUCAUCAGGCGAAUGACCUAUCCACCAGACAUGAACAAAAAGAGAAGUCUUCGAUCUCAACUGACGAAUUUUCCGGUCUAGAAUAGCUACCGGCUCCUCCUCAUAAGACAAGUCCUUGUCCAACUAGACAGUGCUAAAAUCUAACACUUGGGAUGGAUUGCCGUGAUACUUCCGAAGCAUGGACACGUGAAACAUUGGAUGCACGACUGAUAAGCUCCACGGCAAUGCAAUUCUAUAAGCCAUCUCUCCCACUCGAUCCGGAAUCUCAAACGGACCAACGAACCUACGGCUAAGUUUGCCGUUUUCCCAAAUCUCAUCAUGCCCCUGAUAGAUAACACUCGGCGAAAUACUCGCUUACUAACCAUGAAUGCUAAGUCACGAACCUUACGGUCGGUAUAGCUCUUUUGCCGGGACUGAGCUGUACGAAGCCUAUCCUGAAUGAUCAUGACCUUGUCCAAGGCAUCCUAAACUAGAUUUGUACCCAACAACCGUUCCUCUCCCAAAUCAAACCAUCCAACCGGAGACCGGCAUCGCGUACUAUACAAAGCCUCAUACGGAGCCAUCUGGAUACGGCUGGUAGCUGUUGUUGUAGGAAAACUCUGCUAAAGGUAAAAACUGAUCCCACAAGCCUCAAAUGUCAACAACACAAGCUCGGAGCAUAUCUUUCUAAAUCUGAAUAGUCCACUCGGACUACCCAUCUGUCUGAGGAUGAAAUAUUGUGCUCAACUAAACCUGUGUGCCCAACUCUCGCUAAACUGCUCUCCAGAAAUGUGAAGUAAAUGUGUACCUCGAUCCGAAAUUAUGGACAAAGGCACACCAUAAAGACGAAUAAUCUCCCGGAUAUAGAUCUCCGCUAACCUCUCGGAUAAAUAUGAGACUGUCAUAGGAAUGAAAUGCGAUCACUUGGUCAGCCUAUCAAUAAUGACCCAUACUGCGUUGAAUUUCCUCCAAGUCUGCGAGAGUCCAACAAUAAAAUCCAUAGUGACUCAUUCUUACUUCCACUUGGGAAGCUCAAUCCUCUGAAAUUAAUAACUAGGCCUUUGAUUCUUGUACUUAACCUGCUGACAAUUCAAACAUCGAGUCACAUAUGCAAUGAUAUCCUUCUUUAUUCUCCGCCACCAAUAAUGUUGUCGCAAUUCCUGAUACUUAUUCAUGGCGCUCGGAUGAAUAAAGUACCGAGAAUUAUAGGUCUCCUCUAAAAUCAAUUCUCGGAGUCCAUCCACAGUAGGCAUACAAACUCAACCCUGAAAUCUCAAAACCCCAUCAUCAUCUCAGGUAACCUGCUUGGUACCCCCACGCUACACCGUGUCUCUAAGGAUGCAAAAAUUAGGAUCAUCAUACUGCCGAUCACGAAUACGCUCCAACAAUGAAGAACAAGAGACUGCACAAGCUAACACACAACAUCCAACCUCACGAACUGAUUGGCCAAGGCCUGAACAUCCAAAGCAAGCGGUCUCUCACCGAUUGGAAUAUAAUCAAGACUAUCCCUACUGGCGGACUUCCUACUCAAAGUAUCGGCCACCAUGUUGGCCUUCCCCAGAUGAUAUAAGACAAUGAUGUCAUAAUCUUUCAACAACUCCAGCCACCUCUUCUACCUCAAAUUCAACUCCUUUUGCUUGAACAAAUACUGCAGACUCUUGUGAUCUGUGAACACCUAACAUACCACACCAUACAGAUAAUGCCUCCAAAUCUUCAAUGCGUGAAAAAUGGCUACCAACUCCAAAUCAUGAAUCGGAUAGGUCCUUUCAUGAAUCUUUAACUGCCACAAAGCAUAGGCAAUGACCUUGCCAUCCUGCAUCAACACUGCACCAAGCCCAAUACAAGAUGCGUCAUAAUAAACUGUAUCAUGCCCUGAACUUAUGGGCAAAUCCAACACCGGUGUUGCAGUCAGAGUUGUCUUGAAAGCUCACCUCACACUCGUCCGACCAUCUGACCUAGGCACCCUUCUAGGUCAACUUGGUCAUCGGAGCUCAGAUAGAUGAGAAUCCCUCCACGAACCAACAAUAGUAGCCUGCCAAUCACAAGAAACUCCAAAUCUCUAUAGCUGAUGUUGGUCUAGGCCUGUUAUUGACUGCCUCAAUAUUCUUCAUAUCAACCUGAAUACCCUCUUCUGACACAACAUGACCCAAGAAUGCAACUGAACUUAACCAGAACUCACACUUCGAGAACUUAGCAUAUAACUUAAUAUCCCUAAAAGUCUAAAGACCCACUAUGAGAUGUUGCUCGUUCUCCUCCCGACUGCAGGAAUAUAUCAAAAUAUCAUUAAUGAAGACAAUCACUAACGAAUCUAAAUAAUUCCUGAACACUCAGUUCAUCAAAUCCUUAUAAGUUGCUCGGGCAUUCGUCAACCCGAAUGACAUCACCAAGAACUCAUGAUGCCCGUAUCGAGUGCAAAAAUUUGUCAUAGGGACAUCUGUCCUAAUCGUCAACUGAUGGUAGCCAGAUCUCAAGUCAAUCUUUGAAAAUACCUUGGCACUCCGGAGCUGAUCAAACAAAUCAUCAAUACUUGGAAAUGGAUACUUAUUCUUGAUUGUAACCUUUUUCAACUGCGGUAAUCGAUACAUAUUCUCAUCAAUUUGUCCUUCUUCUUAACAAAAAACACUGGUGCUUCCAAAGGCAAAACACUGGGACCAAUGAAACCCUUCUCAAGCAAGUCUUGGAACUGCUCAUUCAACUCUUUCAACUCGGGUGGGGCCAUAAGAUACGGCAGGAUAGAAAUGGGCAGCGGGCUUAGAGCCAAAUCAAUGCAAAAAUAAAUAUCCCUAUCAGGUGGCAUACCCCGCAUGUCAAAAGAGAAAACCUCAUAAAACUCACGAACAACGGGUAUAGAAUCAAUAGAGGGAACCUCGGCACUAGAAUUAAGAACAUAUGCCAAAUAUGACAAACACCCCUUCUUGACCAUAUGCUGAGCCUUCAGAUAAGAGAUAACAUUGCACGUAGAAUGAUCAGGAGUCCUUCUCCAUUCUAAACAAGGUAAACCCGGUGAGGCUAAGGUCACAGUCUUGGCAUGGCAAUCUAAGAUAGUGUGUUAAGGUGAUAACCAGUCCAUCCCUAAUAUGAAAUCAAAAUCGAUAAUGUCCAGAAGAAGCAUAUCUACACGAGUCUCAAGACCUCUAAUCACAGCUAUACAUGAAUGAUGGACUCGAUCUACAACCAUUGAAUCACCUACCAGUGUAGAGAUAUAAAUAGUAGCACUAAAAGAAUCACUAGGCAUGACCAGAUAUGGUGAAAAAUAGGAUGUCAAAAAUGAGUAUGUAGACCCUGGAUCAAUUAAUACUGAAGCAUCUCUAUGACAAACCAGAACAGUACCUAUACCUCUACCUCUAAUACCUUUACCUCCAGCUCUAGCAUCUCUACCUCCACCUCUAAUACCUCAUCCUCUACCUCUAGCUAACUGAGUGGGCUGGACGAGUCCCUCAAUGAACCUCCUCAUUCUCUCUCAUAGUGGGAAGUAUGAUAAGAUCAUGACGAGUCGAUGAAUCUAAUCUUGUACUAACUAAUAGUCAUAAAACCCUGGUGGAGAUGCUCAAACAGCUUCGAUAGACCUCUCUUAGAGUAGCGGGGAGAAAAUUCUCCAAAAAUAGCAGUGUGAACUGCUCCCAACUCAAGGCUGGCGAUCCUGCUGGUUUGGCCAAGCAAUAAUCUCUCCACCAAGUCUUGGAGGAUCCAAACAAGCGAAAAGUAGCAAAAUUGACCCUAUUGGUCUCCACGAUCCCCAUGUUCAUGAGAACCUCAUGACAACUGUCUAGAUAAUCUUGGGGAUCCUCAGAAGAUGCACCACUGAAAGUAGUAGUAAAGAGCUUUGUGAAACCUAUCCAACCUCCACAAAGCCUCCGAAGAUGUAGCUGACCUAUUAUUGGUCUAAGAUGCUGCUCAACUGAAGAAGUGGUACGUGACCUCUCUAUGCGUGAAAGGGCAAGAGUAGGGGUUUCAAUUUAGCACUGAGAGAACAAAAUCGCAUGACAGGAAAGAAUGAAUGUGAAAUUUUUCCCUAAUUCUGUAGCCUCUGGGGAUCAAUUCAGAUGUCUACAUACCAAUCCCUCAGACUCUACUAAGCUUGUCUAUGAACUGUGAGACCCACGUAACUUAGAGCUCUGAUACUAACUUAUCAUGACUCGGAAUUCCUACCUCGGGAGUCAUGAUGGCGCCUACUAAUGAGAGCUAGACAAGCCAAUCCUUAACUACUUACUUCAUUAUUCAAUUUUUCUUUUUCACAAAUAAACAAUGAUAACAUGAAAAUAACAUAACUUUAAUUAAUUAAGCGGAAGAUGACGACUAAAUAUCGGAAAUCUACAUCUAUUACAACUAUUAUAACCUCAAACACCCAAAAUCUGAGAUCAUUAUGUUGUCUCUCUGAAGGAAUAAUAGAACAUAGUUUCUGAAUACAAGGAAAAUGAAAUAGGAAGUCGAGAUAGAGGUAGAGGCCAGGGCCUGCGGACAUAUGUAGGUCCUCCUUGGUUCUUGGGGUAAACUGAAGGAAGCCCCCAACUACUAUCCAAAGCUGCUUUGGAAUCUACACAUAGUGUAGACUGUAGUACCAGCACAACCGACCCUAUGUGCUGGUAAGCACCUAGCCUAAACUCGGUGAAGUAGUGACAAGGCUAGGACCAAACUACCAAAUAAAGCUAUGCUGUUCAAAUAUAUAUAUAUAUAUACACACACACACACACACGCACACACACACACAAAAAAAAUGGAAAAGAAAUGCAGGGAUAGCCAAUCAAUAUGGGAGGGGGAGCAUGUUGGUGGGAAACGUCGAGUAGUAACAGAAGAGAAACAAAUAAGUAUGAGGUUCACAACACUUUAAUUGAAAAUAGACAAGGAAAAUCAUGUUGUAGGGUACAACAAUUAUCAACAGGAAACCACCAAUUUAGUGUAGAGAAAUCGUAACACAAUUAUCAAUAAAAAUUAGGAAAAUUAAAGACAAGUGCACGACAUCACCCUUCGUGCUUUUACUAUGUUCCUUACCCAAACAACACUCACAAACAAUAGGGAAAAUGAAUAGAUGAAAUUGUCAUAAAUAUCCCGGCAAGGGAACAACAUCAAUAACCUCAACAGCCCGGCAAGGGAGAUAACGAAUAAACUAACAAUAUCCCGGCAAGGGCAACAACAUAAUGAUCUCUUCUCUUUAUCACUUUUACUUCACAAUUUACAUUACAAAUUGGGCCAAUGCUCUAGAGGUUCAAUUUUCACUUACACUUUCACAAUUCGAUAUAAAACUUAAGCCAACAAUCCUUAAUGUUCAUAGGUUACAACUCCUUCCACAAACUUUAAACAACAAAUAGAAACCACCACAUGGCACGAAAGAUACAAUGAAGUCAUGAUGAUCACAAUAUAAAUAAGUACGGGCAUGCUAGACACCAACGUAUAGAUACUCGUCAUCAUGCCUAUAAGUUGUACUCAACAUUUAACACACGGCAAAUACAACUCAACUCCUAAUCUCUCAAGCUAAGGUUAGACCAAACACUUACCUCGAUGCCACAAACACAAUUCACAAUUCAAUUAUAGCUAUACCCCUUGAUUAUACCACCAAGUCGCUCGUAUCUAGUCACAAGUUACUUAAUUACCUUAAUACCGCUAAAUAAAUCAAUGUGAAUGCAUGAAAAUAAAUUUUCUAAAAUUUUACCCAAAAAUUACAAAUCGACCCCAGGACCACAUGGUCAAAAUCCGAGGUUCGAACCAAAACUCGAUUGCCCAUUCUCCCACAAAUUCAAUAUAUAAUUUUUUCUGAAAUCAGACCUCAAAUUGGGGUCCAAUUCCCUAAUUUUUUAAAAACCUAGGUUCUACCCAAGACACCCAAUUUUUUCUAUGAUAAUCAUUGAUUUUGAUUUUAAAUCUUGUUAAAAGAUGUUAAAGAGCGAGAAAAUAAAUUAGAAAUCACUUACCAACGUUUUAGAGAUAAAAGGUUGUUCGAAAAAUCGCCUCUUAUAUUUUUGGGGUCUUGAAAAACAAAAAAUAACUUAAAAUCCCCUCUAAAUAUACUACUCUCAGAUGCCCUGUGCGGACCGCACAAAAUCAACUACGGCUGCACUGCUCUUCUUGUGUACUUCAGUGACAUGUCUUAGUAUUUUGGCCAUAAAUUUCUCUACAUAUAUCUUAAUUGUGAUUUCUUUACCUUUCUGGAAACUAGAUACAAAGAGCUACAACUUUUGUUUUUUAAUUAUCUUAAUAUUCUUGUAGAUCAAAUGAUAUAGAUUUUUGAAGUCGGACCGGUGAAAUAUGCUUUACCGCGGACCGCAUAAAAACUAGUGCGGCCGCACAGGCCCCUCAGCGGUAGCACUCAAAUUUGUGCGGACUGCACUGGUCUAUUAAGAGGACUUCCACUUCUCUGAGCCUAAAACAACUCUAAUUUUCAAGCCUAAGACAUCUCGGAACCUACCCGAAACUCACCUGAGCCCUCGGAACCCCAAACCAAGUGCACACAAAAUCUCAAAAUAUCCUACGGACUCAUUUGUGUAAUCCAAUCAUCAAAGUAACAUCAUGAACAUACAUCAAUAUCAAUGAAAUUCCUCAAAACUCCUUUAUACAUCAAAUUUUUCAAUUAAGGUCUGAAUCACGUCAAACAGACUGUUUCUUACCAAAUUUCACAGAGUUAUCUUAAAUUUCCAACAAGACCUAUACCGGACGACGGAACCAAAAUAUGGAUCCGAUACCAACAUGUUCUAAUCAAAAUUCAUUCGCAAAUCCUUUAAACAAUUUCAGAAAACAAAUUUUCUUUAAAAAUUUAUUUCUCGGGCUUGGGACCUCGGAAUUCUAUUCCGGGCAUACGCCCAAGUCCUAUAUUUUCCUAUGGACCAUCCGGGACCAUCAAAUCAUGGGUCCAUAUCAGUUUAUCUAAAACGUUGACCGAAGUCAAAUUAGUUCAUUAUAUAAUAAAAAAAUAUUAUUUUUUCACAAAUUUUCACAUUUAAGCUUUUCGGCUACGCGCCUGGAUUGCGCUUGUAAAUCGAAGUGAUACUAAGAGAGGUUUUUAAGGCUCCGGAACGUAGUAUUUUAUUACAACAUAAGUGAUGGUCAUUCGGGUCAUUAUAGUUACACUGUUAUAGAUGUUAUAUAUCACUUUACAAGAUUUUCAAAAUAGAAAAUCAACUUCAAAAAAUCAAACCUUUUUUUCUCAAAAAACUGUGAAAGAAACGAUAAAAACUUGGCCCUAAGCUGUUUCCAAAUCAAAGAAGGAACAAAAUUUGGUAAAUACUUAGGAUUCCCAAUUUUCCAUACACGAUCAAAGAAAGCUGAUUUCCAAUUCAUACUGGAUAAUAUUAGAUCUAGAUUAACCGGGUGGUAGACUAAUUUCUUAACAAUGUCAGAUCGGGCUACGCUAAUUAAGUCUAUAUUAGAUAAUUUAUCUAUGUUACGCAAUAUAUUUAUAUUUGAACAUCAAUCAGUAAUAAAAUGAAACAACAUCAACGAAAUUUCCUAUGGGAAACAACAGCAACAAAAAUGAAACUACAUCUCUUAAAAUGGGAAAUGAUUACUAGGUCUCGCAAGGUAGGGGAUUGGGAAGCCAAUGUGUUAGACAAAAAAUGAUGCCUUACUGGCAUGCCUAGCAUGGAUGGCCUUUCACUCACCUAAAACAUUAUGGGCCAACAUAUUAAUUGAGAAAUUCAAUCAAAAACCCUUGGCAUAAUAUUCUCAAGGGUUGGGAAAAUUGCCAACUAGGGUUACAAAGGCAUAUAGGAAUAGGCGCACAUAUUAACUUUUGGACUAAUUGUUGGAUAAAAAAUAAGACAACUGUGCGCUCACUAAUUAGUGGCCCGUUGACACUGGCAAAGAUAAAUCUCAAACUAAGCUUAAUUAAUAAUAAUGGUUGGAAUUGGGACUUGGUUCUAUUUGAGUUUGCAACUGACAUUAAAAAUACUAUAACCAAUAAAUAUAUUUCUGUUAUAAAAUUAUAAAAGAAGAAAAAGAUUAUUAUAGAGAAAAAUAGAGAACUUUUAUUGAUUUUGUGAUGAUUUAUAAUGAGGUAAGAUUCAUCUAUUUGUAUGGAAAAAUGACUUAGUCACAAUGUAAAACUCUUUAUAAGAUAGACAUUUAUUCCAAAUGAAAUUCUUUCAGAACACUUACCCUUGAAUGUCUACUCAACAAGUAAUAUGCCUCAUUAAAACCUUAAAUAAAAUAAAACCCAAUGGGAAAAAAAAUAUAGAAAUGGAAAAAGAGUACAAAUAUCUAAUAAUACGCCUUUUGGUUGUCUCGUUAAAAACCUCACAAGGAAAAUCCAGCGGGACAAAACCUUGUAAGAAGAAAAGAGUGCAAUGCGCAUUUGCUCCCCCUGAUGAGAGCAUCACUUCAUAUCCUUGAGCCUAUGCAUUAGAAUUUUGUGCACCAUCUUCAAAAGAUCUCUUGAACAAAUUUGUUUUACCUUGAAAUCAUUAUUCUUAGUAGAUGUAUUGUCUUCAUAUGAUCUUGUUGGAAUCGUAAAUUCAAUAUCUUCACAUACAAGUGAAAACUCAUAUUAUCAUGUCCAUAGUUAUAGCAAGAUAUAUAUUUAUGCACAAAUUGCACUAAGAAAGUGGUACUUAAGAAUCAAGAAUUGUAUAUGCUUUAAACAGUUUAAAUCCCUCAUGGAUUGUCAUAUAAGUUAAGUUAUAUAAGCCAUCUAAAGAGACUUUAGAUGUAUAUCAAGUUUUCAUGUCAUGCUAGAUAUAUAAGGUAUCGAAAACUAAUUGCACAUACUAUUGACUUUAUAUUUUCAAGUAUUUGAACAACAUAGAUAAAAUUAUAUGUCUUUUAUAUAAAACCAAUUCUAUUCGAAUUGUGUCUCUUCCAUUUGGCCAAUAUUUUUGUGUCUAUAUUCGAUAGACUUAAGAUCAUCAUCUAUACUUAGUGCUAUGAUAGAUGUUGUCGAAAAAUAUUUUAUAUCGGUUCCAACCUCCUUAUUUUUCAUAAAGACAUAACAUAGAGAUCUCUUCAUUCAUAUUAUCAGAUACCCGAAUCUCUCAUGAGUUUUAUGAAGUGUUAUGUCGUGUGAUCUCUACAUCACUUGCCUCCUUUAUUUUGAUCAUUUUCUUUAUCAAGAAGUUUAUUUAAAACCGAUUUGUCUAUACGCUUUAAGCGUACCAUUGACUUUGUCCUUCUAGGACUUUAUUAUAAUAGGAGUAUUUGUAGUGAGAAUAUAGUUACUUUCUUUGGGUCAGCAAAUGCAUCUGGCGUGCUUUGCAAUAAAUUGCACAUGAAUUAUCCUUUUAUAAACUUCAAAUUUAUAUUAGUUUAUUCAAGGAUAUAGAUGUAUAAAUAAUAAUUCAUUCCACGUAACUUUUUCUCACUGUUUAUCAUGUCUCCCCCUCAUGUUAGAAAAACUAACUUAUUUCCUCAAUUUUGAAACUCCAUCUUUGUGCAUUAUGGUGUUAAUGAAAAUAUACACCGCACAUCAGUAAUAAUAAGAUGAAAUUAUUUGGUUCCUGACCCUGAACCACUUGUGAGGGGAGAAUAUAAUAUACUCUCUAAUAAUAAGAUGAAACUAUUUGAUUACUAACCCUGAACCACUUGUGAAGGGAGAAAAUGAUAUACUUUCGUAUAUAACGUAUAUAAAACUUAUAUAGAUAACUUUGUUCUCGUAAGCAAUUGUUUAGCCAUUAAGUGGAGGCACUCAAUAAAUUAUUUUGCUAAACCAACUGUGAUGUAAAUCAGCUUAUCAAGAUAAACAAUAUUGGACAGAAAAUCUGGAAAUUAUGCUCUAAGUUAAACUAUUGAGCAAAUUACCUCGCAAACACCAAGUUGCGGGUUAAUAAUAAUCGCAUAUGUAACCAUCUCAUAGAUGCAUCUUAUGUGGUAUACAUGGCAAGUGAAUGUGCUCAUAUUCACCUUUGAUAUUUCCAGUAUUCAUGGGAUUCAAUCCCAAUUUUAGUUGAUCUAUUAAUUAAUGAGAACAAGCAAUAUAGGUGAAUAUACUCAUAUUCACCUUUGAUAUUUCCAGCAUUCAUGAGAUUCAAUCCCAAUUUCAGUUUAUUUAUUAAUUAAUGAGAACAAGCAAUAUAAGAGAAUUCGUAAAGAACUUUCUAGUUCUUUUAAUAUUUUCCCAUGUGAAUUCUCUAUUAUUUUAGCACAUCAUACUUAAAUUGAUUUGACUAAAUCAAUUAUGCCAACUGAAUAAAUUAUCAAUACUGAUAAACUUCAAAUUUACACCAUGACGUGUGCAAUUAUCAAUAAACUCCAAGUUUAUUAUGAUAUGAGUUUUUAUAUCAAUAAACAUCCACUUUAUUGNNNNNNNNNNNNNNNNCUGAUAAACUUCAAAUUUACACCAUGACGUGUGCAAUUAUCAAUAAAUUCCAAGUUUAUUAUGAUAUGAGUUUUUAUAUCAAUAAACAUCCAUUUUAGUGUGGCGUUCUUUUAUUUGUGUAGUACAAACUAGAGAAUAAAGCGGGUAGCUUUUCACAUAUAUACUAUCCCGCUACAACUUGUAGUAAUCGAAGAUAUUAAAUCUUUCCUUUAUUUAUAGUCUAAAUAUAAUCAACUGCUUUCGCGUGUACUUUGAAAACUGAAUAAGUUUCUUUGAGACUUACUACAACACAAUACCUUAUUGGUAAUCAAUUAUGUUUCUCAAACAUAGUAUAAUUGGCUAUCGCAGAGUUCUCAAUUAAUUUUGUAGUACUACAUUCAUCAACACCCAUAUGGUGAAUAUCUCUUUUAAAGAGAAAGUUAUACCAUUAUGGUUAUGGUCAAAAUUAUAUGUAAGAUCUGUUUCUUGCAUUACAGUUGUUUUUAAUAAUCACAAUAGCAAAAUAUCUUGACGCAAAAUAAGCACAUGAUCAAUGACCAUUUAUGCCAUAAUAAUGACAUUAUUUUCUUAUAUCAUCUCAAACCUCCUUCUAGAUGUGAGUGUGGUAUAUUCUCUACCACUGGCACAUUCAUACUCUUCCAAGAAUGAAUAUAUAUUCAUAAAUCAGAUGUUGUCGCAAUCACAUCAUGAAUAGACCAUAAUCAUCUAUAUGUGCUUUACAAAAUCUCGUGUCAAAUCGAAGACAAAUAUUCUUCACAGAAUGAAAGAUUAUUUUGAGAAUCAUUAUUAUUCUCUUUGCCACAAAUAAUGACAAUUAUAGUUUCGUUUAUUGCCACGUCAAUAUCCAUUGAUACAUUCAUAAUAAUAAAUUUGUCUUCUUUCAGACUUAUCACAUGUUGCUAUCACAUUCUUUUAAGUAAAUGAGAAUGGAGUAAAUUCAAUGGGACGGGUUUUCAAUAGUUUGUCCACAAUCAUACAUGAAUUUGAUCAUAGCAAGACAGAGAAAUUUUACCACUUCGGGUGGCUAUAAUUUCUUAUUAACUCCAUUAGAGUUAUAAUAAAAAAUUAUUGUCUUUGCUUGUAUUUAAAAUCAAAUUAUAGAAUAAAAGAGAAAAAUAUGAAUACAUACCUUAAAUUCAUAGUUUAAUCAUGAAGGAAUUUCAUAAAACAAUUAACUAUCAUUAUGCUCAAUCUCAAAGCUUCUACUCAAUUGGUUAGAGUCUCGUGCUGAUAACGUGUUAUAAAACAAUAAAAGAAAAAGAAUAUUAUUACAGAGAAAAGUAGGGAGAGAGAACUCUUAUUGAUUUUGGGAUGAUUUAUAAUGGGAUAAGACUCCUUUAUUUAUAGAAAAAAAUGACUUAGUCACAAAAAAAAACUUUCUACAAAAUAAACAUUCACUCCAAAUAAAAUUUUAUACAUAAUAAUUUCGACUUCCCGUAAUAAAGCUGACAGGAUCUAUUGAGAUUAAUUUACUAGUAAAUCAACGUACACGCAAUUGAAAAACAAAAUAAAGAAUGAUCAGACUGCAAAUUACACCUUUGGAUGGAUAUGGAACUUACCCAUUCCUCCAGAAUCAAAUACUUCAUUUGACUAUUUAAACAUAAUACACUACCAACUUUGAAACAUCUUCAGUAUCUUAAUAGCAUCACAAAUGGGACAUGCACUUACUGUAUCCAAGAGGAGGAAUCAAACAAUCACCUUUUUUUUGGAAUGCCCAAACGCAAAAUCAUACUAGAAAAAAUAGGAAUGGAACAACAUAUCCUUGAGUUGACUAACUACAAUACUCCGAAUGGAUAGCUCAAACCCUUAAUUAAUUACGACCUAAAAAAAUUCCCUCACAAAGUUAAUCCAAGGACUUAUUUGUCACUAAGUCUAUGGAACAUCUGAAUCACUAGAAACAAAAAUGAAUAUCAACACGACAACCACAACGUCGUGUCAAGGUACCUUUCAGAUGAAUAUCACCUAAACCUAACAUAUAUACAAACUUAAUACGAAUGGGGCAUGAAAUUCUACUAAUAAAAAUAGAAUUGGAGGAAUAAUUAGAAACCACAAUGGGAAACGGAUAAAAGAUUUUUCAGGAAACAUACCCCAACAAUCCAUUAUGACAACUGAAUUAUAUGCAUGACUACAGGGGCUUAUACUAGCCAAAUGGAAUAACCUCGUCCUAAUCCAAGUGGAAUUUGACGCCAAAGAGGUAUCAUAUUACUGUAUGGGGAUAAUUUACAUUUUGCUAAUCUAUUAUUCCCUCCAGUUCAUAAUAAGUGUCCAAUGUGUUUUUAGCACGUCCAUUAAGAAAAUACUAAAUUUUAUGUAAAAAUACAUAAUAUAACUAAACUACCUCUAAUUAAACAUUUAAUGUGAGGAGUAAGAAAUCUUUUAAGGGAUAUGGACAUAAGGAUUAUUUUGUAAAAAUAAAUUAAAUUUUUUUAUAUUACAUAACCAGACACUUAUUUUGAACUAAAAUAAGAAAAUAAUUUGGACAAUUAUUAUAAAUCAGAGGAACUACAUGACUGCAAGCACCUUCUCUGAUGCUUCAUGAUCCAACAGUUAACCAUGCAUACAGAGAACAAAAUAUAUUAGCAGAUAAACUAGCAAGAUCGGGAAGUUUUUCGGAAGGAUGCUAUAACCUCCAGGUUUUUUAUCAACCGCCACCUUUUGCAACAGAAUAUUAUUUGAUCAAAAUGAUCUGAAUGUUAUUUUUAAUUGUUUACUUCGUACUAGGUGGCCAGUUUAGAUUUUCAUAUCACCGGUCGAAUUUUGGAAAAUGUUGCCAAUGUGUAAAUAUAAUGCCACAAUGCCGCCAUCCAAUUUCGCUAAGGUUGAUAAGAAUGAACAUUGGACCUAACUCAAGCCCAAAAGCUAGCUUAUGAGGUAAGGAUUGCCAAGUCAUAUAAGGAGACCAAGGACCUCAAAUCCCUCCGAUUGUUGAGAUAAGAGAUGCUACAUGAUUUAGCUUUGUAUGUACUUGUACAUUUUGUGUAUACUCAGAGUAUAUUGUAGGUAUAUUUUCGGUAUAUUUCCAGCAUUGGGUUGUAACUGGGCUGUGGUGAUUUGUGUGUCUGAGCCCAAUGUCCAUUAUUUAAUUUUGGGCCGGAUCACCCGAUCCAACCCAUCCGUGUGUAAUAAGUAUAUAUGUAGGUGAGAUAUUUUCUUACCUACCGAGACUCAUUUUCUUCCAUUCAUUUUCUGUAAUAUACUUCUCUCACCUUCAAGAGAAUUCUAAAGGCUCUGCCUUCUCUCUACUUUCUCUCUCUAGAUUUUCUAUGAUUUCUCGGUCUAAUAUGAAUGUUUACAUGGUAUCAGAGCCUCGACGACGAUCCGUGAGUCUUUCAUCGUGAUAUCGGAGUGUAUUUUCUUCUCCUGAACGUUCUGGAAGGUUUUAUGAUGAUUUUUGGUUGAUUUUUGGGUGACCUAUUGGCUUCUAGGGUUUCUGGUAGUUUAACCUAAAGUUUUACUGCCAUCCGGUGACUCGAUUCUCACUUAGUGGACGUUUUGGGUUCCUCUCUGACGUUCCUGACCACAUUUCCAGUAUGGUUUUCCAAGGUUACACCUAGAGUUUGAUACCUAGGGUUUCUCUGUUGUUUGAAGGCUGAUCUUCUCCGGUCGCGAAGAAGGAGGGUAACUCUGUCCUUAUCUUCGGUACUGUAUGUGAUUAUUUGACUGUGUAUAUGUGAGCAUCUGGUGUUGUCUGUGAAUACCUGAUUUGUUUAUACUCUGUUUGUUGGUUAUUGUGUGGGAAUACCUGUUUUGGUUAUACUGUGUUUGCUGAAAAAUUGUUCCUUUAAGCCGGUUCAUUGACUAUGGCUUCUAACACAAAUACUGGUGCCUCCUCUUCUGUAGACUCUUCCAGUCCCCUUUUUGUAUAUUCUUGAAGAAGGAGGGUAACUCUGUCCUUAUCUUCGGUACUGUAUGUGAUUAUUUGACUGUGUAUAUGUGAGCAUCUGGUGUUGUCUGUGAAUACCUGAUUUGUUUAUACUCUGUUUGUUGGUUAUUGUGUGGGAAUACCUGUUUUGGUUAUACUGUGUUUGCUGAAAAAUUGUUCCUUUAAGCCGGUUCAUUGACUAUGGCUUCUAACACAAAUACUGGUGCCUCCUCUUCUGUAGACUCUUCCAGUCCCUUUUUGUAUAUUCUUCUGAUGUUCCUGGGGUAUGUCUCGUUUCCACUCCCUUCUCGGGUAGUGGUUAUGGGGGCUGGAGACGUAAAAUGAUUGUUGCCCUAUCAGNNNNNNNNNNNNNNNNNNNNNNNNNNNNNNNNNNNNNNNNNNNNNNNNNNNNNNNNNNNNNNNNNNNNNNNNNNNNNNNNNNNNNNNNNNNNNNNNNNNNNNNNNNNNNNNNNNNNNNNNNNNNNNNNNNNNNNNNNNNNNNNNNNNNNNNNNNNNNNNNNNNNNNNNNNNNNNNNNNNNNNNNNNNNNCUCCCCUGCAAUUGCUGAGUCUGUGCAGUACUCUGACACUGCACAGAGCAUAUGGUCCCAACUCCAGGCCAGAUAUGGCACUGCAAAUAGGACCGAAAUCUUUGAACUGAAAAGAGAGUUGUCCCACACCUCUCAAGGGUCCUUAGAUAUAGCUUCCUAUAUUAAUAAGCUAAAAGGUCUGUGGGAUGAACUUGAUUCUAUGUGUGCUAAUUAUGGUCAAAGGUGUGUAUGUGCUGCAAAAGAUGGUAUAGUUUAGGAAUGUGAUGAUAAUAAGGUCUUUCAGUUUUUAAUGGGUCUGAAUGAAGCUUAUACGGGGGUCAGGAGUAAUCUUUUGAUGAUGCAGCCUCCUCCUUCUCUUGACAAUGUCUAUAAUAUGGUCCUCAAUGAUGAGAAACAAAGACAAGUUCAGUCUUAAGAAAUCUGGACACUUAAUUGAUAAGUGCUUCAAGAUCCAUGGGUAUCCACAAAGUACCACCUUUAACAAGGGAAGGAGACCUGUUGCUGCUCAUCUGACUACUGGUCUGGAUUCUCCUAUUUCUGAUGGGCUGUUGUCUUUUCCUCAAGGCAAUCCUCCUGCUAGCCAUCACUCUGUUGCAAGAAUAUAUGGCCAGAGCUCUAUGAUAUCAGGGUUGAGCAGACAAGAUUAUGACCAGUUGAUGAACUUGUUACACCAGACCAAGUUAGGGGAAUCCACUGCUCAAACUCCUCCUCCCAUCUAUGCUGCAAACUUUGCUGGUACUUUGCUAACUGAGAACCCUAUAUCUGAUUCCAAACUUUGUUUGCUUACUCAUAUUAAUUCUGUCACUUGGAUUAUAGAUUCAGGUGCCUCUAAUCACAUGACACAUGAUAAACAACUACUUUUUAACAUCNNNNNNNNNNNNNNNNNNNNNNNNNNNNNNNNNNNNNNNNNNNNNAAGCUGCUGGCCUAUAUAAAUUGGCUUGGGUCCCUCCUUCACCUUCUCCCUCUGUUAGCUGUUCCUCUACAUCUGUUUGUCCUGUAUCUGCUUCUUGUAAUGAUAGCAAAGUUGUUUCAUUGCCUUCUUUGUCUGUUUCUUGUAAUGAUGACAUCUUGUCUGAUAAUAAUACUGUUCCUUUGCCUUCAUAUGUGAAUAGUUCCACUUGUAAUAAUGAUUUUGCAUCUGAUAUGAAUUACAUUUGGCACUUAANNNNNNNNNNNNNNNNNNNNNNNNNNNNNNNNNNNNNNNNNNNNNNNNNNNNNNNNNNNNNNNNNNNNNNNNNNNNNNNNNNNNNNNNNNNNNNNNNNNNNNNNNNNNNNNNNNNNNNNNNNNNNNNNNNNNNNNNNNNNNNNNNNNNNNNNNNNNNNNNNNNNNNNNNNNNNNNNNNNNNNNNNNNNNNNNNNNNNNNNNNNNNNNNNNNNNNNNNNNNNNNNNNNNNNNNNNNNNNNNNNNNNNNNNNNNNNNNNNNNNNNNNNNNNNNNNNNNNNNNNNNNNNNNNNNNNNNNNNNNNNNNNNNNNNNNNNNNNNNNNNNNNNNNNNNNGCAAUGCUUUUACUAUGCUUAAGUCAUUUCUUUCUCUGGUCAGAACCCAAUUUAAUGCUGUGGUUUAGACUAUUAGAAGUGACAAUGCUUUGGAAUUGGGGUCUAGCAAUUAGGGUAUUUCUUUCUUUAGCAGCCAGGGGAUCAUACAUCAAACCUCCUGUCCUCGCACCCCUCAACAGAAUGGUGUUGUUGAGAGAAAACAUAGAACUCUCCUUGAAACCUGUAGGGCAUUGCUUUUCCAAUCUGGCUUGCCAGUAUCUUUCUGGGGGGAUUGCUUGUUGACUGCUACCUAUCUCCAUAACAGAAUACCCACCAGAUUGCUUCAUAAUAAGUCUCCUCAUGAAAUUUUGUAUGGGAAAAUUCUAACCUAUACUCACUUGAGGACUGCUACCUAUCUCUUUAGCAGAAUACCCACCAGAUUGCUUCAUAAUAAGUUUCCUCAUGAAAUUUUGUAUGGGAAAAUUCCAACCUAUACUGACUUGAGGAUUUUUGGUUGCGUUGCCUAUGCCACUGUUCCCAUCCCUCAAAGGGACAAGUUAAAGCCCAGAGCCAUCCCUUGUGUUUUCCUGGGUUAUCCUUUUGGAGAAAAGGGUUAUCAACUAUAUGAUCUUGCAUCUAAGAAGUAUUUGGUCUCCAGGGAUGUUCUCUUUCAUGAAUCAUGUUUUCCUUUUAAAUCUAUGCCUUCUUCUACUCAUCCUCCUGCUUCUCCUCUGGUCUCCAGGGAUGUUCUCUUUCAUGAAUAAUGUUUUCCUUUUAAAUCUAUGCCUCCUUCUACUCAUCCUCCUCUUCUCCUUAUCCCUUUUUUCCAUCUGGAGAAUAUGAUGAUGCCUCUGAUUCUCCCAUUCCCCCUCUCCUCCCUCUUCUCCCUCAUCUGUGCAGAUUCCUUUUCUUGUCCCUGUCACUGUCCUCAGUGCUUCAGUCUUCCCUUCUCCUUUCAAUCCUGCUGAUUCACCUCCUGUUUUAGCUUCUUCUCUCUAUAUUCCUGCUCCCAGAAAGUCUCAAAGACAUCAUAAUCCUCCUUCCUAUCUUAAGGAUUAUGUCUGUCAACUCCCUGCCUUCUCUGGCUCAUCUUCCUCCUCUUUGGAAUCUGAGCCUCUCUAUUAUUCUCAGGCUGCAUCUGUUCCAGCAUGGCAAACUGCCAUGAGACUGGAGUUUGAAGCUUUGGACACUAACCAUACUUGGGAUGUUAUCCCUCUUCCUCCUAGUAAGAAACCCAUUGGUUGCAAAUGGGUUUACAAUAUAAAAUACAAGGCUGAUGGCAGUGUUAAAAGGUAUAAAGCCAGGUUGGUUAUUAGGGGUGACACACAGGUUGAGGGGAUUGAUUUUACAAAAACUUUCUCUCCAGUGAUUAAAAUGACUUCUGUGAAGUGCCUUAUUGCUGUGGCUGUCAAGANNNNNNNNNNNNNNNNNNNNNNNNNNNNNNNNNNNNNNNNNNNNNNNNNNNNNNNNNNNNNNNNNNNNNNNNNNNNNNNNNNNNNNNNNNNCAUUGGCCUCUUUUUCAGCUUGAUGUCAAUAAUGCCUUUCUUCAUGGUGAUUUGGAUGAGGAUGUUUACAUGAAACUUCCUCCAGGUUUGACAGUCUCUUCUUCUACGUCUGGUUCUGUUUCUUCCCCUUCUUCUCCUUCUUCUCCUCUGGACUGUAAACUCAAGAAAUCCUUGUAUGGGCUGAGACAAGCAUCCAGACAAUGGUAUGUGUCUUCUGCUCUUUAUUCCAGAGGGUAUAAACAUUCUUUGAAUGACUACUCCUUGUUCAUCANNNNNNNNNNNNNNNNNNNNNNNNNNNNNNNNNNNNNNNNNNNNNNNNNNNNNNNNNNNNNNNNNNNNNNNNNNNNNNNNNNNNNNNUUCUUUGAAUGACUACUCCUCGUUCAUCAAAGGUAAGCCCGGCUCCUUUGUGGUGGUAGCUGUCUAUGUGGAUGACAUAAUACUUACUGGGGAUGACAGGGAUGAACUGACUGCUCUGAAACUGCUUCCGGACGCACAAUUUAAAAUCAAGGAUUUGAGGUCCUUGCAUUUUUUUUUGGGCCUUGAAAUGUCUGUUGUCCCUGGUGGGAUGCACCUUAAUCAGCACAAGUAUAUCUCUGAUUCGGUGCAUCAGUUUGACUAUGUCAAUGUUUCUUCUGUUGUGUCCCCUUUGGACAUCAAUGUCAAACUUCAUGCUAAUUCUGGUGACCUCUUGCCCUCUCCUGACCAGUACAGGAGUCUAGUUGGCAAGAUGAUCUUCCUCACUCAUACUAGGCUUGACAUUUGUUUUGCAGUCCAGCAUCUGAGUCAAUUUCUCAAAUCCCCCAGACUUCCCCAUAUGAACCAAAAGUAGAACUGGUGGUCAAUGUCUCUUCUGUUGUGUCCCCUUUGGACAUCAAUGUAAAACUUCAUGUUGAUUCUGGUGACCUCUUUCCCUCUCCUGACAAGUACAGGAGUCUAGUUGGCAAGAUGCUCUUCCUGACUCAUACUAGGCUUGACAUUUGUUUUGCAGUCCAGCAUCUGAGUCAAUUUCUCAAAUCGCCCAGACUUCCCCAUAUGACUGGUGCUCUGCAUGUUCUGAGAUACCUUAAAGGCACUCCAUCCUUGGGUUUAUUUUACUCUGAUCAUGCUGAUGUUUCUGUUACUGGGUAUUCUGAUAGUGACUGGGCUGCUUGCCCUGAUACUAGACGCUCUGUUACUGGAUUUUGUGUGCUUUUGGGUGGCUGUUUGAUUAGUUGGAAAUCGAAGAAACAGCCUGUUGUUUCUCUUUCGUCUGUUAAGGCAGAAAACCGAGCCCUUAGCAAGGUUGUUGCUGAAUUGACUUGGCUUUCUCGCUUGUUGGUUGAUCUUGGGGUCUCUGUUUCCUCUCCUAUUUCUGUAUAUUGUGAUAGUCUGGCUGCUUUUCAUAUUGCUAACAAUCCUAUUUUUCAUGAACGUACCAAAUAUAUCGAGGUGGAUUGCCAUUUUGUUCGGGACUUGCUACUUUCUGGUUUUCUCAAGUUGCUUCAUGUGCCUACUUCUCGUCAGCUGGCCGACUUGCUCACUAAGCCCCUGCCUGGCACUUUACUUCUUCCGCUGCUCANNNNNNNNNNNNNNNNNNNNUUCACCAAGCCCCUGCCUGGCACUUUACUUCUUCCGCUGCUCACCAAGUUGCAGGUGGUUCCCCCCUCCAACUUGAGGGGGAGUGUUGAGAUAAGAGAUGCUACAUGAUUUAGCUUUGUAUAUAUUUGUACAUUUUGUGUAUACUCAGUGUAUAUUGUAGGUAUAUUUUCGGUAUAUUUCCGGCAUUGGGUUGUAACUGGGCUGUGAUGAUUUGUGUGUCUGAGCCCAAUGUCCAUUAUUUAAUUUUGGGCCGAAUCACUCGAUCCGACCCGUCCGUGUGUAAUAAGUAUAUAUGUAGGUGAGAUAUUUUCUCACCUACCGAGACUCAUUUUCUUACAUUCAUUUUCUGUAAUAUACUUCUCUCACCUUCCAGAGAAUUCUAAAGGCUCUGCCUUCUCUCUACUUUCUCUCUCUAGAUUUUCUAUGAUUUCUCGGUCUAAUAUGAAUGUUUACACCGAUGUGGGACAAUUCAACACCCCUCCCCCCUUCACGCCCAGAUCUCUGGAGCGUGGAAAACAUUAAUGGGGCCUAACAUCGGUAACAAUAAUUUGGAUGGGCCUGACUUUGAUACCAUGAUAAAAAUGGACCUUGGUACUAACUCAACCCCAAAAGCUAGCUUAUGAGGUGAGGAUUGCCCAAGCCAUAUAAGGAGACCAAGGACCUCAAAUCCCUCCGAUGUGGGACAACUCAACAAAGGUCUCUUUUUUAAAUAGAAAAGAUCUAAGCAACUCAGUGUAUUGGAUGGAUCUCGCGGUAACACAUUACCCUGAGAGAUUGAAUAUUUCAUCAGUUUCAGUGUAUGUGAACCUAUUUUCUUUUUAGCCUGUUCCAAAAAGAAUGAUUCUUUUUAAAUUUGAAAAGUUUUUAACGUAAACUUAAAAUUCUACUCUUAACGAGAAGCUUUUAUAACUAUAUAACCAACUCAUUCAAUUUUUUUACUCAAAGUUGUUGUAUCACUGCAAGGCUUUCUUUCUUGAUCAAAAUAGGCAUUGAGGCUCACGGCGAUCACCAAUAUAAAAAAAGUUAUUUUAUACUUGCUUAUUUUUAUCAAGUUACUCAUGGCAUUACUAGCUUGAUUCCCCCACAUCUUGUUCAAUCGAACUUUGAUUUUAACCUAUUGUUAGUGACCUCAUUACAAAUAAUUUAAUUAUUCCUGAAACUAUAUUUCUAUUAAACACUCAUGUUGUUUGCAGUAUGGCUAGGAGGAUUUUCGUUUUUUUUUUCUACCAGUGGCAUAUAGAGAAUGUUAUCCAAACAAAGUCAUGGUAUUUAAAUUAUGGAUUGUUGCAUGUGCCAAUAAAGUAUACAGCCCUUUCAAUACGUUUAGAGAAAUUCAAAAAGUUGACCAUGUGUCUGCAUAUUUUAAACUAAAUGAUUCCUCCUUUUGCCUCUUUCUAUAUACGCACAGAUACAUUUAUUGGUUAUGGAAAUAAUUAAAAACAGUAGAUGAAAGAGGAAAGUAAUCAAAACCUUAAGAAAACAAACAAUUGCCGGAAGACAGCAGUCGAUAAUUGUUUACGACUUUCCGUACUUUACUAGUUAUACUCGAACAGGAUUUGCACGUGAAACUUAAUGAUGAGCAAUUAGUUCAUCUUAAAUUUUUUAUGUAUAUGCCUGUACUUUAAAAUUGUAAAAUACAUAGGUCGUUUCUUUUUUAAAAGGAUUGCGAAGUAAAAGUGAACAAUUGAAAGUGAACAAAAGAAAUAAUAAUUAAGUUAUGUGCUCAAUCUAUAAGCUAUUACGCACUCUUUCAACAAUUCUUUCCCAGCGCACUCUAGACCUUUCUAAGUUAGGGAGAUUCCUUUCUCUCUUCCAGAAGUACUUUUUGAAUAAUUUACCUCAAGCACUAAAUCUGUAUGCCUGAGAAUCAUUUGGGCUUCAUUCCCUAAAAUUGGAUGCAGAAUUGUUAGUGCUUGAAACUUCUAGUCGGCAUGGUGAAAAAAGAAAAAUUUAAAGUCGACAUAGCCCAAAUCUCCCAUUAAUGAGUCUCACAGGUUCUUUUCAAAUUUAUGCCCAAAUAUUGUAAAAAUAGUGUGGGUCAGCCAGUUUUUGGAUUGAUCAUUCAAAAAUAGUCUGUAUUUAUAAUAUUAUUGAAAAAUAGCUACUAUUUUACUGCCAUAGAGACUGAUCUAAUAUAAUAUACUGGAGAUCGAUGUACCUGUGUAUGAACUUCCAACAUAUUAUGCUGGAAAACACCCGAAAUGUUUCAGCAUAAUAUACUGUAGAUUGGAGCACAUGUGCAUGAACUUCCAGCAUAUUAUGCUGGACCGAUAUAUUAUAUUGGAACUUUAGUAUAUUAUGUUGGAGUUACAGUAUACUUAUGUUGUAACUACAUUAUAAUAUGCUAGAGUUCCAGUAUACUUAUGUUGGAACUCCAGUAUAUUAUGCUGGAGUAUUUUUUGGAUUUUUUAACAGUAUUUUCGUUCAUAUUUAUUUUUACAUGAAAAAUGAAGAAAUUUCGAUUACUUUUGAAACUGUGGCUAUUUUAGAAUGGCCACUUGCAGAUCAGGCUAUUUUUGAAUUUCUUUUCCAAAAAUUAUGUACAUAAGUGACUUAGGCUAUGCUUUUAAAUAAGGAAAUUUCAUCUCCCAUAGCAAACUAUUACACCAUGUUUAUUAUAAAUCAAACCAUUUCAAAAUAUUACUCCCUCCAUUUCAGUUUAUGUGAACCUAUUUCCUUUUAUGUCCAUUCCAAAAAGAAUGACUUCUUUCUAAGUUUGGAAAUAAUUUAGCUUAAACUUACAACGUUACUCUUAAUGAAAAGAAUUUAUAACCGCACAAAAGCUCUUGGACUCCUUUUGAAUUGUUUAGGACCAUAAAUUCUAAAAUUCUUCAUUUUUUCUCAAACUCCGUACCCAGUAAAAAAAGAUUCAUAUAAAUUGGAACGGAGAGAGUAUUAUUAUAGCUACUUUUUCUACUUUCGAGUAAAAUUUAUUUUUAUUUUAUACCCUACAAUUGAGUCAUGAAAUACGUCAAUUAUGUUCUUUCUCUCUCCCUUGCUUCUCUCUCCAUCAGCAAAGUUCUCAAUCCUCUCUCUUCUCUCACAAAUCAGUAGAAUCGUCGGUGUCAUCUGGAGAUUCGAUAUCUCUAGUGAAUCGGAGAAGUAGGUAGCGGCGGAGCUGCGAUAGAAGAGUGAUGAUUUUGGUUCAGAGAUAUUUGGGUAGUAAGGAUCAUAUGCUGCUGAAAUAUAAUUUGGCUUGGUCUUGGGAAUAUUCAAACUAAAAUGUUAUAAGUUAUGUGUGUUAUUAAUAAUUUUAGCAGAAGGAGCAUUACUCCAAUCAACAGAUAUUAUAGGGUCAUGGCUACGCCAUAGAAGAUUUUUCAUGGCUACGCUGGAGAAGAUUUCAAGGCUUGCUUUUUGUUCAUCUCCAUUUUUAGUUUUAAUACGAUGUAUACAAUUAGAAAAUGCAAUUAUCGGCGAACAUUUUUCUCUUCUUUGCUAUUUAGUCACAUAAAAUACUACAAAUACAUUGUAUUAUGUAAAUAUAUACUCAAAUACAUUGUAUUUUUGUAUAAACAUAUUAUAUAUUUUCUUAUUUUUAUGUAUUCCGAAGGUCUGUAUUUUUGGAAUACAACCGAAUAUCACUAUAUUUUAUAUUUUUUGUUGUUUGAAUAUAGUCAAUUAAAAUAUGCUAAAUUGGAAUUCAAGGUAUAAUAUUGAAUAAUGAAUAGCUAUGAAUUGAAUAUAAUGUAUAUAGUCGAAUUGAAUAGAACGGUAUAUACCUUAUUUCUUGAUUAUUCUAACGACCCGACUGGUCGUUUCAAGAGUUAUAGCCUCGUUCCUCUAUUUCUUGCAUCUUUUGUGUUCUACAGCUGCAUUUUAGCUUACUAGGUUAGUUGCUUAGGUCCGGAGUGACAUUGGAGUGAAUUGAGACACUUAGUAUCUUAUUUGAAGUUUAAGUUGGAAAAGCCGACCGGAUGUUGACUUAUGUAUAAACUACAUCAGAUUUCAAUUUUGAUGGUUCCGUUAGCCGCUAGGUGAUUUUGGACUUAGGAGCACGUCUGAAAUGUGAUUUAGAGGUUCCUAGUGGAAUUAUGCUUGAAUUGGCGAAAGUUGAAAUUUUGGCGAAUUUGACCGGUAAAAAAUUUUAUAUCAGGGUCGGAUUUUAUUUUUGGAAGUUGGAGUAGUGCAUGGUGUUAUUUAUGACAUAUUUGCAAAGUUUGAGUCCAAUCGUAUGUAAUUUGAUAGGUUUCAGCAUCGUUUGUAGAUUUUGAAAAUUUCAAAGUUUAUUAGGCUUAAAUUCAUGUGCAAUUCGUAUUUUUGAUGUUUUUAGGUGAUUUUAAGAUUUGACUGAGUUUGUAUAAUGUUAUGAGACGUAUUUCUAUGUUUGGUUGAGGACCUGGUUCAGGAUCAGAUCCAAGUUGUGGAUGAGCCAGCGGGACCGGCUUAGACACCAACUGUGCCCAUUGUCAUUCCAGGCCUUCAGGAGGCCUUGACUCAGUUCUUUACCGAGUGAACUAGAGUUGCUCAAGCGCUCUAUUCUGACUGCAGCAGCCAAUUCUCAGGUGAGAGGAGGUUCUCAGACUCUCGUCGCCCGGACACCUGAGCAGAUAAUGCAGGAACUCCAGACACUAAGGGUACCACCAGCCCGGCUGGUUGCAGCUACUCAGGACUAUGUAGUUCCAGUCAUGCCUGAUAAUGAGAAGUGUAGAUUGGAGAGCUUUGGGAGGCUACAGCCUCUGUCUUUCAGCAGUGUAAAAGGCGAGGAUUCCAGGGUUUCUUAGACAAAUGUUAGAGGGUCCUCUGUAUAGCAUGUAUUUUAGAGACCAGUAGGGUCUCACUCAUUACUUUUCCGUUCAUUGGAGGUGCCUUCACUUGGUGGGAGGCUUAUGAGAGGCCUAGGCCAUUUGGUGUAGCACAACUUUCAUGAAAACGGUUUUCCAUUAUCUUCUUGGAGAAGUAUGUGUCACAGUCUUGCUAAGAGGGUCUGGGUAGACAAUUCGAGCAGUUGUGUCAGGAUGAUAUGACUAUGACAAAAUAUGAGUUGAGUUUUUCUGAGUUGGCCUGUCAUGCAGUUGUGUCAGGAUGAUAUGACUAGUAUAACUCAAUUAAGGAAAAACAAUAUAUUAUUUAGUAAGAGUCAUGAUUUACAAUAAAUAGUACGUGUACGCACUCGUCACCUUACAUACAUGAUGCUUACAUAUCACAAAAGUACCAAAUCCUAAGGGGAGUUUCCCCACACAAGGUUACGCAAGCCAUUUAUCUCGAACAAAGCUCAAAUCAAUCUAUAACAAUGUCUUUCCCGCGAAUAUCUGACUUUGAAUGGCCCAAAUCUAGCCAAAAGCAAUUACAUAUCGUAAAUACAACUAUAAUAGACUAAUCUAAUUAAUGAAAUUAAGACUUUAACAAGAAAUUUGAAAAUAGCCCAAAAAUGCCUCUCCGCGUCAACGUCUCAGAAUUGCAUAAAAGUCACAAAAUAUAAAUACUCAUUCACUCACGAGAUCACUCAUACCAAAAUUAUCAAAACCCAAAAAUAAUGGUUGAAGAACUUCCCCAUUUUCCCCUAAUUUUCCAACUCAAAGCCGAAAUUAAAGGUGGAAAUAAUGAUAGAUUAGUGGGGUAUAACUAAAAUCAAUUUAAGAAUCAUUACGCAAUGGAUGUCUCUGAAAAUCCUCAAAAUCUCGCCCAAAUCCGAGCUCACAAACUCAAGUUUUGAUAAAAAUGGCCAAACCCUCGUUUUUCAUAUAUAAAUCUACAGCACAGGUAACUCUUUUUUUGCGAGCGCGGAACUAUCCUCGUGUUUGAGAAGGAUAAAAAUACUUUAGUCCAAAAACCUCAUUCGCAAACGCGAUGGUCCAAUCACGAACGUAGAGCUUACACAGCCAGACCCAGCGUGAAUGCGGGACCCUCAUCGUGAACGCGUAGGCUAAUUCGCCUGGAGCUCCAUCUGACCGUUCCUCUACGUGAACGCGAGGUCCAUAUUGCAAAAGUGUAGUCUUAAUCUUCCAUAUCUUCGCGAACGCGAAGAAAAAAUUUAGGUUUCCUCCUAAAUACUAUACGCGAAUGCAAGACCUCUGUCGCGAAUGAGAUGAAGGAAAUCAGCGACAACACCAGAACAUCUGAUGUCUUUCACAAGUCCAAAUUUAUUCGUUAACCACCCGAAAUCAACCCAAGGUCCCUGAUACCUCAACAAAACAUACCUACCAAUUCUAAAACACCACACGAAUUUAGUCGAUCCUCCAAAUCACAUCAAACAAUGCUAAAAGCGUGAGUCAGCCUCCAAUUCAAACUUAAUGAACUUGAAACUUCAAAUUUCUACAACCGAUGUUGAAACAUAUCAAACCACGUCCGAUUGACCUCAAAUUUUGCACACAAGUCAUAUUCGACAUUAUAUACCUACUUCAACUUCCGGAAUAGGAAUUCGACCAUGAUAUCAAAAAGUCCACUACUGGUUAAAAUCUCCAAAAUAUGAAUUUCUCUAUUUCAAGCCUAAAUCACAUAUAGACCUCCAAAACACAAUCCGGACACGCCCCUAAGUCCAAAAUUAUCCAGCGGAGCUAACGGAACCGAUCAAACUCCAUUCCGAAGUGGUCAUCAUAUAGUUCCAACUACAGUCAAAAUCCUUAGGCUUAAGCUUCCCUUUAGAGACUAAGUGUCACAAAACACUCCGAAACCAAAACAAAACCUUCGGGCAAGUCACAUAAGCAUAAACAGAUACGGGAAAAGAAGUAAAUAGGGAAUCGAGGCUAUAACUCUCAUAAAGACCGAUCGAGUCGUUACACAUUGACCCAACCCACAGGGCAGGUUGGGCGGGUUACAUAUUUUUAGGUCUAUGCCACCUCUACGCACUGCAUUUGAUUUGGAUUCUCUGUAUUUGCAUCAAUGCAUGUCUCACACAAGAUGACUAAAGAAUAAGCUAGAGUGUGAUAAAAACAAGACAGAGAAGCAGCAGCGCUAUCUAUUCCCAUAUCAAUAAUUGAAAUGUUACUAUGCUAGUAGUCGUCAAUACCGGUAGGAAAAUGAUAUUUGACAAUUGAGCGCAAAAGGUGAGGCAGAGCCUCAAAUUCUAGGCAACGUGCCCAGCUUAAAACCCUCAUAAACUUUCCUUCUAUGUUGUAUAAAUGAUGUUUUCCAUCUUUUAUAACUAAUUAAGGUAGGAAAAUGAUAUUUGACAAUUAGGCGCAAAAGGUGAGGCAGAGCCUCAAAUUCUAGGCAAUGUGCCAGCGUAAAAACCUCAUAAACUUUCCUUCUAUAUUGUAUAAAUGACGUUUUCCAUCUUUUAUAACUAAUUAAAUGCAGAGCACGUCUACUAUUUCUUUUUUGUUAACAGAGAGUUGAAUAAAAGUGAGAAAUUAGACAAGGCUCUUAGAAAAAGCAUCAGUGGUUGGUGCCCAGAGGUAAGAAUUUUCAAUGGCUCCGAAAAUUAAAAUAAUAAGCUUAAAUAUUUCCUUCGAAAAUGCUACCAUGAUAGAUUAACUACAAAAACCUUCUUGAAUCACAUUGGAGUAGACACUUCCUUGUAGUAUGCUUUACCCUAGAGGAAACAUCUCUACAUAUUUUCCUAUUAUGCCCAAUAGCAGAGCAGUUAUAGGAAGCCUGGGUGUGAGCAUUCAAUUAGUUGACACCCUUUUUAUACCCACUAGCUAGAUAGUCUAUACAAACAAAAAUCUCACACCAUAUGCUCUUCCUUGGAGUGGGAUUGUCUAUUCUCUUUCAGUCUCUGGCUUCUACGGCUUAAUAGAAAUAAAAUACCUUCCACAAUCUUUGUAAAUCAGUGGAUAGUAAUCAUGUUAUAUCAAGAGCCAUGGAGUAGUUGCAUUGCAAUAAUAUCAACUGCAACAAACUUGAUAGACCCUUGCCAGUUGCUACUAAAUGGGAACCCCCUACUAUACAUCAAUUGAAACUCAAUAUAGAUGGAGAUCUUAAGAGUAGAUUCGAGCUAGGUGGAAUAGGUGAGGUGUUCAAAGACUCGACUAGGGACUAGAUUAUGGGAUUUAGAGCCUGUUUGGAUUGGCUUAAAAGCUGGGCCAUUUUUAGAUGUUGAGAGUGUUUGGCAAAAUAGAAAACAACUUUAAAAAAAUUUAAAGCUGGCUUAAAAAAAGUCACAAGUUGGAUGAUCCCAACUUCUUUUUUUAAGCUUAAAAGUCAACUAUCUUUGGCCAAAUAUUUUACCCUCUUAUCCCUAAUAAUAUUUAUUAUUCCAAAAAUGUCUUUCACAACAAAAUCUCAAUUUAACUCUAUUCUUUCCGGUUAUCUAUUCAUGUGACUUCCUACCUUAUUUCUUCAUUUUGCUCUUUUUCUUUCUGGUUCUUCUCCAAUUGGUAACACUUGAUUUGAUUCACAUUUUGAGUUUUUACUUCAUUUUGUUUGUCCAACGCCACUCAUUUAGCUGGGACUAUCUAAAGUAUUUCCCAAUUGUUUUAUUUUCAUUUCAUAUUUUCUUAUAUCAAUAAUCAUACAAUUCACAUAUUUCCAGUAAGCUUGGAAUUUCAAGAAAUAAAUAAAAAUUUACAUUAUUGAAAGAAGUGAAAAAUAAGAGUUCAGGUGAUCAGUUUAAAUAUUAAUUAUUUCGUAUUUAUAUUAAUAAGUUUAAAAUAAAAUAUUAUAAUAAUAAGCUUCUUUAUAGUAUUAACAUCUUCAAGGAUAUUUCAAUCAUGUUAAUUGAAAAAGUGCUUACUAGCACUUGUUUAUCAAAUAUUCAACAGCUUUAUUCAGCUCCAACACUUUUAUCCAAACACAUAACUGCUUAUUUAUAAAACCAGCUCCAGUACUUAAAAAGUGUUUUUAAGCACUUGUGCUUAAAUGCUACUUUUUUUAAGUCAAUCCAAAUGGGCUCUUAGUAAAACAACUACGGUUCCCUCUCCUCUAUACAUUGAGCUUGAGGCAUAAUGCCAAAGCCUAGAACUAGCAAUAACUUACCAGUUCAGAAAUUUGCAAAUAGAGACAGACUCUGCCUCUAUACCAUCACUAAUUGAAUCAAAUUACUCACCACUCUAUAAUUCCCUUCUUUGUAAAUGGGGGUACUAGCUGAAGAUAUUGCGGAAUACACCCAUCCUAUGCAAUUUCAAGGAAGGCAACAACAGAGGGCAUGAUCUGGCGCAGCAGGGAAUGCAGUAAGCCAAUGUUAAUCAUAACCACAUAUAUCUAGAAGUACCUGACUACCUUAAAGAAGUUGUGCGAGACAAUAAAGAAGUAAUCACUGUUACUAGAACUACCACUGCUAGUAGUGUUGUGUUGAAAAUUUUGGCUAUGCUGAGCAAUCCUGUAAAGAACCGGACCAUGUUACUUUGCUACUUAGUAUUAAAUAAAAGUUUAUCUUCUUUGCCAAAAAAAAAUAAAAGAAUAAAAGUGAGAAGGAUCAUAGCAUGCUUAUUGAAUCCUUUCAACAUAUAUAGAAGCCCAAACUUAAAAUAAUAUGUCAAAAGAUAGGAAGUAUAAAAAAGUUUGAAAAUUUUAGUACUAAUUAAAUUACAAUGAAUAUUUUUGUGUAUAGUAUUUUUAAAUGAUAUUCAUGUAAUAUUGGUAUUGUUUGGUGUCAAUUGGACUUGCGUUUGAUUAAUACCAAACAAAACGUAAUUAUGAUCGAAUUUCUUAGUGCAAGUCAAAUCAAACCAUGACCGGUUGUUUUCCUUCAAUUUAGCUUGGCUUGUCGGUUCGGUCAUUUUAUUUGUACACCCCUCUAGCGACAAAUUAAUAUCUCUAGGAACUAUCUAAUCCUCGUAGUAGAUUAACUUUCAUAAAAUUAGUCAAUAAAGUUAUAUAUAUAUAUAUANNNNNNNNNNNNNNNNNNNNNNNNNNNNNNNNNNNNNNNNNNNNNNNNNNNNNNNNNNNNNNNNNNNNNNNNNNNNNNNNNNNNNNNNNNNNNNNNNNNNNNNNNNNNNNNNNNNNNNNNNNNNNNNNNNNNNNNNNNNNNNNNNNNNNNNNNNNNNNNNNNNNNNNNNNNNNNNNNNNNNNNNNNNNNNNNNNNNNNNNNNNNNNNNNNNNNNNNNNNNNNNNNNNNNNNNNNNNNNNNNNNNNNNNNNNNNNNNNNNNNNNNNNNNNNNNNNNNNNNNNNNNNNNNNNNNNNNNNNNNNNNNNNNNNNNNNNNNNNNNNNNNNNNNNNNNNNNNNNNNNNNNNNNNNUUGAUAGUUUUGGAUAUAUAUAUAUAUAUAUAUAUAUAUAUAUUCUGAUAUUUGUACUAGUCUUCUUCACCGAACUCUUCUAUCUGUAUCCUCAUAUACGAUCAUGAAGUGUCAUUGCAACGAGAUAAGCCGAAUUAGUUAAGAUACUAAACCAUAAUUUUUCCGGACUUUAUAUGAAUACAAAAUUUUUUAUGCAUCGAAUUACCCUAGUAAACCACAAUUUCAAAGAGAAAGGCCAGUUGAUGAAUAAAAGGACUGCAAGUACUUCAGUUACAAGGGAAGAACAUAAAAAGUCUCAGUACUUGAUCAAAAUUUUUGAAGAAGAAGAGAAAAAGUAGAACAAAUGUAUAUGCAUUAUCCACACCCAUUUUAACAAAGUUUUCAACGCACAAAUUACAUGAAAUCUUAUACUACAUAUCUGGCAUUACUACGUCAGCUAAGUAGUGCCUCUUAUUGAAAGAGUAGAGGUCCACUUAUUACAAAUUAUUUCAAAAGGCAUACUUACACGAUUAUUAAGAAUCAAAAUAAAAACAAAUUUCUGUCCACACCACCUAAGCAAUUGAAGUGAAGUUAAAAUUGGCACAUGUAGUUUGUCGGAAAAGAAUUGAAGAUGUGAAUCCCAAUCUUGAUCUUGCAAGAUCAAACUGCAAAAGAUUAUCCUCAAUUGUGUAUCCUCCAACUACAAUAGAAGUCCUUGGGCUUACACCUCCAUCUACAAACCCAAGGCAUAAAACAUUUUCACUCACUUGCACCAUUGAGUUUGCUCCAAAUAUCCUCCAAAACACAUUCUCAUUUUGCAAAACAAGAUCAAUGGAUGGCACAGCUGGUCCAACUCUUGUACUUGCAAUGUUUCUUGAAUCAAAACAAGCCCUAAAUGGUGCCACGGAUGCAACUCUAGUAAUGUUGACAAGUUCCUUGACAAAGAAAUUUGUAAC